rnacentral:rRNA from 1 species
CCUACGGGAGGCAGCAGUGAGGAAUAUUGGUCAAUGGCCGGAAGGCUGAACCAGCCAAGCCGCGUGAAGGACGAAGGUGCCAAGCAUUGUAAACUUCUUUUGUCAAGGGACAAAAUCAGGUUCGAGUGCCUGACCGAGGGUACUUGAAGAAAAAGCAUCGGCUAACUCCGUGCCAGCAGCCGCGGUAAUACGGAGGAUGCGAGCGUUAUCCGGAUUUAUUGGGUUUAAAGGGUGCGUGGGCGGGCUGUUAAGUUAGCGGUAAAAGCCCGGGGCUAAACUCCGAAGGGCCGUUGCAACUGGCUGUCUAGAGAUGUCGAGAGGUAUGCGGAAUGCGCGGUGUAGCGGUGAAAUGCUUAGAGAUUGCGCAGAACUCCGAUUGCGAAGGCAGCAUACCGGCGGCGAUCUGACGCUGAGGCACGAAAGCGUGGGUAUCGAACAGGAUUAGAUACCCCGGUAGUC